rnacentral:rRNA from 1 species
AUCGUACGGGAGGCAGCAGUGGGGAAUAUUGGACAAUGGGGGCAACCCUGAUCCAGCAAUUCUGUGUGCACGAAGACGGUUUUCGGAUUGUAAAGUGCUUUCAGUUGGGAAGAAACAAAUGACGGUACCAACAGAAGAAGUGACGGCUAAAUACGUGCCAGCAGCCGCGGUAAUCGAU